rnacentral:rRNA from 1 species
AUUGAACGCUAGCGGGAUGCUUUACACAUGCAAGUCGAACGAGUGGCGGACGGGUGAGUAAUAUAUCGGAACGUGCCCAGUCGCGGGGGAUAACUACCCGUAAGAGUUGCUAAUACCGCAUACUCUUGGAGCUGCCCAUAUCGGAUUAGCUAGUUGGUGGGGUAAAGGCUCACAAAGGCAACGAUCCGUAGCUGGUUUGAGAGGUCGACCAGCCAGACUGGGAUGGAGACACGGCCCAGACUCCUACGGGAGGCAGCAGUGGGUAAUUUUGGACAAUUGGGGAAACCCUGAUCCAGCCAUGCCGCGUGUAUGAGAAUGCCUUCGGGUUGUAAAGUACUUUUGGCAGGGAAGCGGUAUCUGCAGAAUAAGCACCGGCUAACUACGUGCCAGCAGCCGCGGUAAUAC